rnacentral:rRNA from 1 species
GAUGAACGCUGGCGGCGUGCCUAAUACAUGCAAGUCGAGCGAACAGACGAGGAGCUUGCUCCUUUGACGUUAGCGGCGGACGGGUGAGUAACACGUGGAUAACCUACCUAUAAGACUGGGAUAACUUCGGGAAACCGGAGCUAAUACCGGAUAACAUGUUGAACCGCAUGGUUCAACAGUGAAAGACGGUCUUGCUGUCACUUAUAGAUGGAUCCGCGCCGCAUUAGCUAGUUGGUAAGGUAACGGCUUACCAAGGCAACGAUGCGUAGCCGACCUGAGAGGGUGAUCGGCCACACUGGAACUAAGACACGGUCCAGACUCCUACGGGAGGCAGCAGUAGGGAAUCUUCCGCAAUGGGCGAAAGCCUGACGGAGCAACGCCGCGUGAGUGAAGAAGGUCUUCGGAUCGUAAAACUCUGUUAUUAGGGAAGAACAAAUGUGUAAGUAACUAUGCACGUCUUGACGGUACCUAAUCAGAAAGCCACGGCUAACUACGUG